rnacentral:rRNA from 1 species
UACGGAGGGUGCAAGCGUUGCUCGGAAUUAUUGGGCGUAAAGGGUAGGUAGGUGGUCUGAUUUGUCUCAUGUGAAAGCCUUGAGCUUAACUCAAGAAGUGCGUGAGAAACGGUCAGACUAGAGUACUGGAGAGGCUAGUGGAAUUCCCGGUGUAGCGGUGAAAUGCGUAGAGAUCGGGAGGAACACCAGAGGCGAAGGCGGCUAGCUGGACAGUAACUGACACUCAACUACGAAAGCGUGGGGAGCAAACAGG